rnacentral:rRNA from 1 species
UACAGAGGUCUCAAGCGUUGUUCGGAUUCAUUGGGCGUAAAGGGUGCGUAGGUGGCGCCAUAAGUCAGGUGUGAAAAUCUCGGAGCUCAACUCCGAAACUGCACUUGAUACUGUGGUGCUUGAGUACUGGAGAGGAGAUUGGAAUUUACGGUGUAGCAGUGAAAUGCGUAGAUAUCGUAAGGAAGACCAGUGGCGAAGGCGAAUCUCUGGACAGUAACUGACGCUGAGACGCGAAAAGCGUGGGGAGCAAACAGG